rnacentral:rRNA from 1 species
CGUGUAGGUGGCUAAUUAAGUCAGGUGUGAAAUCCUUCCGCUUAACGGGAGAAGUGCACUUGAAACUGCUUAGCUAGAGUACAGGAGAGGAAGGUGGAAUUCCUGGUGUAGAGGUGAAAUUCAUAGAUAUCGGGAAGAACACCGGUGGCGAAGGCGGCCUUCUGGCCCGAUACUGACGCUGAGACGCGAAAGCGUGGGGAGCAAACAGGAUUAGAUACCCUGGUAGUCCACGCCGUAAACGUUGGGCACUAGGUGUGGGAGGUUUUUAUUCCUUCUUUGCCGAAGCUAACGCAUUAAGUGCCCCGCCUGGGGAGUACGGUCGCAAGGCUAAA